rnacentral:rRNA from 1 species
UACGGGAGGCAGCAGUGGGGAAUAUUGCACAAUGGGCGAAAGCCUGAUGCAGCUAUGCCGCGUGUAUGAAGAAGGCCUUAGGGUUGUAAAGUACUUUCAUCGGGGAGGAAAAAACAAAACUAAUAAUUUUAUUUCUUGACGUUACCCGAAAAAGAAGCACCGGCUAACUCCGUGCCAGCAGCCGCGGUAAUACGGAGGGUGCUAGCGUUAAUCAGAAUUACUGGGCGUAAAGAGCACGUAGGUGGUUUUUUUAAGUCAGAUGUGAAAUCCCUGGGCUUAACCUAGGAACUGCAUUUUGAAACUGAAAUACUAGAGUAUCGUAGAGGGAGGUAGAAUUCUAGGUGUAGCGGUGAAAUGCGUAGAUAUCUGGAGGAAUACCUGUGGCGAAAGCGGCCUCCUAAACGAAUACUGACACUGAGGUGCGAAAGCGUGGGGAGCAAACAGGGAUUAGGAUACCCGU